GGCUGUAGUGUAGCUUGGUUGGAGCAAUUUAAUAAUAGUUGUUUUGGAGCAAUAUCACUUGUGGUUCGGGGCCACACAACCUCGGUUCGAAUCCGGGCAGCCCCA
rnacentral:tRNA from 1 species